UCGGGAAUUUUGCUCAAUGGGCGCAAGCCUGAAGCAGCAACGCCGCGUGAGGGAUGAAGGCCUUCGGGUUGUAAACCUCUUUUCUCAGGGACGAUGAUGACGGUACCUGAGGAAUAAGUCACGGCUAACUACGUGCCAGCAGCCGCGGUAAUACGUAGGUGACCAGCGUUGUCCGGAUUUACUGGGCGUAAAGAGCGCGCAGGCGGUCGUUCAAGUCGAGUGUGAAAGCCCCCGGCUCAACUGGGGAGGGUCACUCGAUACUGAUCGACUUGAAGGCAGGAGAGGGAAGCGGAAUUCCCGGUGUAGUGGUGAAAUGCGUAGAUAUCGGGAGGAACACCAGUGGCGAGGGCGGCUUCCUGGCCUGUUCUUGACGCUGAGGCGCGAAAGCUAGGGGAGCAAACGGGAUUAGAUACCCCGGUAGUCCUAGCCGUAAACGAUGGACACUAGGUGUUGGUGGUAUCAACCCCACCAGUGCCGAAGCUAACGCAUUAAGUGUCCCG
rnacentral:rRNA from 1 species